rnacentral:tmRNA from 1 species
GGGGGUGACAGGCUUCGACUUUGGUAUUUGACGCAUGGGAAGCGAGUCGUGGUGUCCGGAUCCACGCUAAAGAGCCGGAAACAAAAAUAAACGCCGAGCCUCAGCUCGCACUCGCAGCUUAAUUAAUUCUGCGACGUCCUUCCCGCCCGAGCUCUUAGGGCGGUCAAAGGGCGAGAUCAAAGAGAGAUAAGCCGGUGGCGGUCUCGGAACCGCCGGACGAAAACUUACGAGAUAGGCAGAGGGCCAGGCGCUAGCAGUAGCCCGCUGAAGAAA